rnacentral:rRNA from 1 species
AGUGAACGCCGGCGGUAGGCCUAACACAUGCAAGUUGAACGGCAGCACAGGAGAGCUUGCUCUCUGGGUGGCGAGUGGCGGACGGGUGAGGAAUACAUCGGAAUCUACUUUUUCGUGGGGGAUAACGUAGGGAAACUUACGCUAAUACCGCAUACGACCCACGGGUGAAAGCAGGGGAUCUUCGGACCUUGCGCGAUUGAAUGAGCCGAUGUCGGAUUAGCUAGUUGGCGGGGUAAAGGCCCACCAAGGCGACGAUCCGUAGCUGGUCUGAAAGGAUAUUCAGCCAAGCUGGAGCGGAGACACGGUCCAGACUCCUACGGGAGGCAGCAGUGGGGAAUAUUGGACAAUGGGCGCAAGCCUGAUCCAGCCAUACCGCGUGGGUGAAGAAGGCCUUCGGGUUGUAAAGCCCUUUUGUUGGGAAAGAAAUCCAGCUGGUUAAUACCCGGUUGGGAUGACGGUACCCAAAGAAUAAGCACCGGCUAACUUCGUGCCAGCCGCCGCCGUAA